AAAAAUGCAAAAAAAAAAACAAAAUAACCAAAAAAUGAAAUUAAAAAAAGAAAGGGGACCAAUUUGCGACGCGCGCACUACAUGGGGGACCUAAAAUGAAAAUAAUCCCUCUCCCCAAACGGUGCGCAGUAAUGGGGACCGACUUGAAACAAGGUAAAAAUAUUUGAGCCAAAUUAAAAAGAAAUAACUGGCUCAAUAAAACAUGGCGCAAAGGGGGAGGACUUAUUGCGCAAUUCUCCCACUUAAGGUUGAUAUGCGCAGACCCCCAAACUAAACAGCACCAUCUUUGUUCCGUUUUAAGUUUUAGAAAAAAAACAAAUUCAGGGUAAUAUUUUGCCUUUCCCUUUGAAGCAAAACUGCUUCUUUCUGGGUUUCCUUAACCCUUUGGCCGCCGUUCAGCCCACGCCUCGAUUCCGACGGAGGGGACACCAGCUCGACGACUCCGGCGAAAGGUAAGUCUCCCUUUUCCCCUUUUAUUCUAUUAUUUCACAAAACAAAUAAAAAAGAACAGAGAAAAAAAAAGUAAAAAUGAAAAUAGAAUAAACGCGAUUAACCUUCAAUUUUCUUUGUAUUUCAAUCUUUUCUCUCUAUUUUUGUAUCUUUUACACUGCAUCCCCUCCCUUUUUCAGAUUUUUAAACGGCAUUUAUAGCCGAAAGAAAACAAUCGGAAUAAAAUCUAUUUCCCUCCCCAUCCUUGCUGUGUUUUCGCUAUUAUUCUGCCUUUUGCUGUGCUUGUAUGCUUCUUUUCGCGGGUUUGGUGGCUUGUUGAGGUGUGCGUACGUAUGUGGAGGCGCAACUCGCGCGGAGAGGGACCUUAGCCCCGAGUCAUACGGUGAUUGGAAUGCUGGAAGCGGCAGCCAAGGAUUUUUCUGUUUAGGGUUUCAGUAGAUAAGGUAUUUGGAAUUUUGGGCUUAAGCUUUAAUUUUGUUGGGCCUAUAUUGGUUUGGGCCUGGGCAUAUGUGGGCUUGUACAUAUAAUAUUAUAAAAAUAUUAAAAUAAAAUUAUGCUUUCUUCCCAAAAUUUAUAAUUUUAUUUUUUAAUUCGUAAUUUGAUAUACUAAAUUUUAGUCCCAUUAGGCAUUGCUAUUUCAGGUGAAAAAGUGAUUUUCAGGGUGAGUUUGGAUGGGCGGUGCGUGCGUUUAUCUACGGUUAAUAUAAAAACAGCAGUAGCGGUGAGAUUAGAUACUGUAGCGAUACUGUAGCGUGAGACAAAAAAUAAGCUAAACGCAACGCACCGCAUCCAAUCGCGUAUCCAUACUCACCCUCAAUCUCAAAAGUAACGCAAAACAUUGACUUUGGGUUGAAAAAGCUACUUUUUUACCCAAAUCCAAAAAAUGGGAUUUUGAUCCUUAUGACUUUUGGGUUUUGAAAGACAAUUUGUAUUAAAAAAUAUGGAUUAAUUUGUACCUUUUGUAUGAUUAUAUUAAAUUAUUUAAAUAUUAUUUAUUAUUAUAUUUGAAAUUUUAAAAUAUUUUAUGUAUCAUUAAAUUUAUAAAUAAUUUAUUAAUUAUUAAAAUGUAUUUAAAAUGCAUAUUUUUGUAUGACAAUAUUAAAUUAUUUAAAUAUAAGCUAAAAUAAUUUAUUUUUAAUUUUUGACGUCAUGUAUAAAAUAGACAUUUUAACUUUCCGUUACAAAUUUUGACAGUAAUGUCAAACACUUAAAAUUAACAAGCCACAUUUUUCCACGGCACUUUCUUAUAGUACUUUCCAGAAAAAACUUAUUCAAAAACAUUUAUCAAUAAUAACAAUGCCAACAUUAGCCUUUAGUAGAGGUGAUCAUGGGUCGGGUCGGACCCAAGUAAAAAUUUAGGCCCAUUUGCUAGGUAUGGGCCCAGCCUGGCCCGAAUAAAAAUGCUAAAAUUUGGACUCGACCUGGCUUGCGCAUAUUAAAUUUUUUAUAUUAUAUUAUUUUUACAUAAUUUUUAAAUAUAUAUAAUACAUAAAAAAUACUAAAAACAUUAAAAUAAAUAUUUUCGAACAAAUUGAAAAUAAAUUUUAAAAAUAUGUAUACUUAAAUAAUACUAAAAUAGAUGCAACUCAACAAGAAAAUGUCACUAAAAUAAUAACAAAAUUAAUAAUAAAAAAAAGUGUUAUAAAACAUUCAAACAAUAACAACAAAAUAAUAGCAACAUAAUAGUGGAAUGGUAGCAAAAUAGGGAGAAAACAACAAGAAAAUAUCAUUAAAAUAAUAAAAAGAGCAGAUUUUGUUUUGCCAUUUAGUGAAUUCGGGCCGGGCUCAGGCCAAAAGUGUAUUACUUGAGGCCCGGUCCGUUUUUAAAACAGGUCUUAUUUUCUUUCCAAACCCAUUUUUCAAGCUUAUAUUUUUACCUAAAUCCUCCUAUUUUUCAGGCGGGCCUUCGGGUCGGGCCGAGUGGCCCAACCCAUUAGCAGGUCUAGCCCUUAGUAACCCAUAUAAUUUAUUUUUAUUCAUUUUUUAUUAUAUGUUCAAAGGAGAAAGGAAAUAAUUUUUUUUAAAUCAUUAAGGUCUAGUAAGCGAAUCAUGUCGGUCAGUUGAAUCAAUUGAAUCAAGAAAUGGUGGUUUGAUAGGUAAUAUAUAACUGAAAACAAAACAAAUCACUGUGAAAUGGUAAAAAACUGAAAAUCAAGAAAGAAAAAAAAAGACAGUUCAAUCGAUUAUAAUUUUUAAAUUUUUAUUUGAUUAUUGUUAAAUUGAUGACUUGAUGGACUGAGCCACUAACAUGAUUCUUAAAGGUAUCUUAUAUAAACUCAACAUCUUACAAUUUUUAAUGUAUUUUUUUAUUUUUCUUUUGUAUUAUGAAAUAAUUUUAUGUCUAUUUUAAUUAUUUUAGUUGGAUUAAAAUUAUAAUUCAAAUUAAAAUUUUACAUUUGCAAGGUAUUUAAAAAUUUAUUUAUAUAGCUUUUGCAAUAUAAUAUUAUAUCUAAUAUUUUCAUAUUAAGUUGUUUAUUGUUGGAUAAUCCAAAUUUAAAUAGCAAAAAGAAAUCAAAAUUUAAUAUAACUUGUAAGGUCCUUGAAAUAUUAAAAAAAAAAAAGGAAUAUUUUUAUAUUAAAAUGUAUUUUCUAAAAUUAAAUAAAAUAAACUUUAUAAGUUUUUUUCGUAACAAUUUAUUUACUUUAAAUUUUUAUAUAUACCUCUUAUUUAUACUUUUGAUUUCGUCCAUGUAUAUGUAUGAAUAGGGAAAUGAUCCAUAUACACUAUUAUUUUUUUAAAUUAGUUUUAUACACUUUUUUAACCUUUUGUAUAAUUAAUAUUUUAACAAUAAAUAAGUUGAAUUUAUCGAUAUAAUUUUAAUAUCAUGUCUAUACAUUUUCAAAUCAAUUUAAUAUAUUUAUUAUAUCAAUCUAUAAUAAAUAGACAAAAACUAGCAAUGAUGAUAAUGAUUGGAUUAAGGAUUUUAAAUUUUAAACUUUUAAAAUACAAAUUCUAUAAUAGAUGUAUUUUAACUUCAUCAUUAUGCUGGAACUUUGCAACAUAUUUCAAACAGUUGAUCUAAAAGGUGCAUGAUCGCCACUUCCUUCAUCUUUAUGAGCAUAUAACAGUUGUUUUUACCUUUGAACACAAACAUCCCUCCCUCAUAGUACCAAAGAGGAAAACUUAUAUUAUAACAUUGAAUUUAGGCUUACCUGUUGCACUACACUACUUGUUUCGUCAGGGGUGGCCUCAAUUGUAUAGUGUUUUACAGCUUUAAUGAUUCACUUUCAUAUAUUUAAUAAAUUGAAUAUGCAUUGCACAUGGAAUUUAGGUAAAAUAAUAAUGGAGUAUGCCUCCAUUGUUUAUGAAAAACAACUCCCUACUUGAAAUCUCGUUUUAAAGUCCAUCCAACAAUUCAAACUUUUCCAUUUCUAAUUUAGGGGAAAAGGAGAUCAAAAGUAAAGGCUGUUAUAGUUUAGCUUCUGGUUUUGUUGUCUUUACCCCACGCUAUAUGGAAGAAGACUCUUCUUAUUUAUGUCUCUAUUCAGUACAUUAUACAUACUUUAUAAAUAAAACUCUGUUUCUAUCUUAUUAGCCCUGUUUCAAUUUCAUUUCGUAUUUUAUUUUAGCAUAUCGAAUUUUUUUACUUUACGUCCAACCUCUCCCUCCUUUUUCCAUCUAUAUUCCCUUUUUUUUUCAUUUCAGGGCCAAAUUACGCCUGUUUUCACAUCUAGGAUUUACAUAUACAAUAUAUAUUACUGUUCCCGGAACUAGUCGGAUGGAGUAGAUAAUUUCCUUGUUUAAAUUAAAUAAAUUCUAAUUUACUAAUUUAAAAGUUAGAAUAAAAAAUCCCUCCCCAAACCGUGCUUGCAUUUUUCAUUGCACACGGCUUUCUCUAUGUAUCCAUCUAAAACCCUGUUUAUUCCCUAAACAGAACUCUAAAAAAAAAGCGGAAUACUUGGUCAAUCCCCUCUUAUUCUUACUGCCUGAACAUUUAAUACUAGAAUUGAAUUUACAUAAUUUCAUAACCAAUCAUGAAUGAUUGACCAGAGCAUUGAUACAAAUAAUAUCCAAAUACCAAAUUUGUCCCCUAUAGAACUUUCGCAAAGCAAAAAAAACCUCUUGAGAAGAUCAAAGAAAAAACAUGUUCUUCUUCCGUUUCCGUAAAGAAUUCUUCCAAAAAUUCCGAACCUAAUUUUUUUAAAAAAGCAUGGAUAGUACUUUUGUUUUUACGAGCCAAAGUCUUAACACAAGAAAAUCGAAGUAUAUAUUUUAUUCGAUACAAACUUUUUUUUUUUGAAGAUCCACUGUGAUAAUGAGAAAGAAGGGUGAAUUUCUUAUUUCUUUUUAUUGUGCAAGAACCAUGAAUCUAUCAUAACACAAUUAUGCAAAUAACACAAAUUUGCUAGUGAGGUAACAUACCAACAGUCAUCACACCUAAACACCUAAAGUAAAUGAAAAGAUAACGCCCAAGGAUAACUCCAAAAUCUACACCUAAUUCCCAAACUCAAAAAUUAAGCACAGAAAUCUAAUAUAGCACUAUAAACCAAAACACCAAAGAGCACGUUAGCAAAGCAGUAAACCAUCCGGGUAAAAGCCACAAAAGAACAUCAGGCACCUAAUCCCUAUGUUCAAUAAGUACGAAAGCCGAAACUCAUUCUUGACAAUGUAGCAAUGAACACCUAAUUUGCGUUCUUAGACUCCCAAAAAAUAGAAUCUAACAGCAAUAAAACAAAGAUAGUGACAAUAAAAACAACGAAACAACGUGACAUUGAGAAACAUAACAGAGAUAAUGACAACAAACUCUCAUGGUAAAUUAGACAAACACCUAAAGUGCAAACUGUUACUAAAAAAAAAAUCAAGCCAAAGUAAUUGAAGUCAGAAAUUAAAGCAAGAUAUUGUAAUUAAAAGGCAAAAAACAAUGAAUAAUUUUUUUUAUAAUGACAGUAAAAAGAAAAAACCAACAUAAAAAAUUCAGAUUACAGUUUCUAACAAUUUAUACAAAAUCAGCUUGACAUAGCAUGGGAUUUGGCUCACGAUCAAGCAGUAAACGAAGCAUGACGAUACCACUGAAUUGACAAAUCAACAGUUUGUAAAUACAACCCUUUCAGAAACUGCUGAGCAGUUCGAUACCACUGAAAUUAUAAAAGAAUGGGUUUUUUUAUAUUAACAAAAUGCUUUUCAAAGAAUCUUCUUUUCAGCAAAACUUUUGGGUACUUUGAUUUAGAUUUAUGUAAACUCAUUUUUACAGGAGCAAAAGAGAUCUUCGUAUCUUGGAGAAGCAAAAAAAACUCACCUGUAGUGGAGUUGAUGACAGCGCUGGUGAGAGCCAAAGAACGCCGAUGAGAGAGAGGUAGGCCGGCGAGAGGAGAGGAGGUGAGAAGUGAAGAUUUUGGGAGGAUAUGGAUCUUUGAAUUUAGAUGCGUAAAACAACUUACCGAGUCAAGAAGCGGGAAAUUAGGAAAAU
rnacentral:lncRNA from 1 species